AGUGAACGCUGGCGGCGUGCUUAACACAUGCAAGUCGAACGAGAACGGAAUAUAGCUUGCUAUAUUUGUCAGCUAAGUGGCGCACGGGUGAGUAAUGUAUAGAUAACCUGCCCUUAAGAAAGGAAUAACAGGUGGAAACGACUGCUAAUGCCCUAUAUGCCUUUAAUACAUAAGUAUGCAAGGGAAACGCUUUAGUGCUUAAGGAUGGGUCUGUAUGGUAUCAGCUUGUUGGUGAGGUAAUGGCUCACCAAGGCUAUGAAGCCUAACUGGUUUGAGAGGAUGAUCAGUCACACUGGAACUGAGACACGGUCCAGACUCCUACGGGAGGCAGCAGUGGGGAAUAUUGCACAAUGGACGAAAGUCUGAUGCAGCAACGCCGCGUGGAGGAUGACACAUUUCGGUGCGUAAACUCCUUUUAUAUAGGAAGAUAAUGACGGUACUAUAUGAAUAAGCACCGGCUAACUCCGUGCCAGCAGCCGCCGUAAGAC
rnacentral:rRNA from 1 species